GACACUCUUUCUCUACACGAUGCUUUUUAGAUUUAAUGAUCCCGCUUUAAUAUAAUUAUCAAGUUACAAACAAUCGUCGGUGUUGUUGCAGAGAGAACUCCGACCACGUGAACAUAAAAACUUGUGUAUUCCUCGAGUUAAG